rnacentral:rRNA from 1 species
CGGUGACAUAUCCUUCAAAUGUCUGACUUAUCAGCUGUCGAUGGUAGACUCUGUGUCUACCAUGGCGCUCACGGGUGACGGGGAAUCAGGGUUCGAUUCCGGAGAGGGAGCCUGAGAAACGGCUACCACAUCCAAGGAAGGCAGCAGGCACGCAAAUUACCCACUCCCGGCACGGGGAGGUAGUGACAAAAAAUAACGAUACGGGACUCAUCCGAGGCCCCGUAAUCGGAAUGAGAACACCCUAAAUCCUUUAACGAGGAUCUAUUGGAGGGCAAGUCUGGUGCCAGCAGCCGCGGUAAUUCCAGCUCCAAUAGCGUAUAUUAAAGUUGUUGCGGUUAAAAAGCUCGUAGUUGGUUCUGCGUGCCACGCUGUCGGUUCACCGCCUGCCGGUGCAACUGGCAUGCCGUGGCAUGUCCUGUCGGUGGCGGAUAGGCUUCGCGGCGUGCCCUAUGCGGUAUACCAGCGUGUAGGUUGCUGCGCCGCGUUGUCCUUUUACGCCGGCUCAAUCCUACCGCGGUGCUCUUUACCGAGUGUCGAGGUAGGCCGACACUGUUUACUUUGAACAAAUUAGAGUGCUUAAAGCAGGCUCUUAAAUCAGCCUGAAUAGUGGUGCAUGGAAUAAUGGAAAAGGACCUUGGUUCUAUUUUGUUGGUUUCCGGAAUCCAAGGUAAU